GAUGAACGCUAGCUACAGGCUUAACACAUGCAAGUCGCGGGGCAGCAUGGGGGUUGCUUGCAAUCCCCGAUGGCGACCGGCGCACGGGUGAGUAACGCGUAUCCAACCUGCCCUUCACCACGGGAUAACCCGGCGAAAGUCGGACUAAUACCGUAUGUUGUCCAUUGACGGCAUCCGAUUUGGACGAAGGGCUUGGCGGUGAGGGAUGGGGAUGCGUCCGAUUAGCCAGACGGCGGGGUAACGGCCCACCGUGGCUACGAUCGGUAGGGGUUCUGAGAGGAAGGUCCCCCACACUGGAACUGAGACACGGUCCAGACUCCUACGGGAGGCAGCAGUGAGGAAUAUUGGUCAAUGGGCGUAAGCCUGAACCAGCCAAGUAGCGUGCAGGAUGACGGCCCUAUGGGUUGUAAACUGCUUUUAUGCGGGGAUAAAGUGGCCCACGUGUGGGCUUUUGCAGGUACCGCAUGAAUAAGGACCGGCUAAUUCCGUG
rnacentral:rRNA from 1 species